CUCAUGGAAACCAAUAGAUACUUCUUUGGAGGGAUCGCCAAUAAUUGUUAAACCUAGACGAUAGAAAUAAUUGUCGUGUUAAAUUGACGCUUGCAUAAGUGUUUUUCAAAUGUUUUAUGCGUACUCACCGAGGAAUAACGACUACACCGGUCGCCGCUCCAUGCGAGAACCAGGAAUACAGUAAAUAAAAAGAAGAAAGUCACUUCCGAAUGAAUGCCGUAGUGGUCGUGGAGAGGAUGGUAAAGAGGCAAGAACAGCAGGACUCCGCCAGGCAUACCAAGUAAAGCUGGUAGCACAGUGCACACAGUUUCCUUGAAGCACCUGCGAAGAGUACGAACAGAACGAUUCAUUCUCUCCGGUACUUUUGCACCACGGAUUGCAAAAACAUGAUCAAACAGACGCGACAUCAUUUUUGGCGAGGUAAACUAAGUGGCAAAAAUCUUACUCACGAUUUGCUCGCCGUCCAUUGUUCCUUGCUUUCUGUAAAGAGACGUCUCGUUCCGUGGAAGAAGAAGGUGAAGCUUGCGGCAAACGCUGCGUGAAAGUAAUACGAGUUCCAAGGAACGAAGUAGUGCCGAUCGUAUAUGUUGGGAUCAGUGGCGUGCCAGGACCAGUGAAGGAAUCUCACAGAGACUAUGUCGUAAGGAAUGUCAAUGAGGACUGUUAUCAGGCCUACGGCGAAUGGUUCGCUCCAAGCAGGCAGUCGCAGUUGCUUCACAGCGAUGGAUGCGUUGUAUAUGAAUACAACAUCUGGAAGAUUUGGUAAAAAUUUUUCCAAAAUUCUACUUUCAUCGUGAAAGUUACAGUAUUGAGAAGGAGCGAACUCGUUUCUCCAACUUCAUACUCACACACCAAGAUUAUAUGGAGCGGCAAACGCCGUCCAAUCAGAAUUAUCGGUGUCUGGGAAUGCCAAAAGUUGUCGAUGUCUGGAAGGUUGUAGCUAAUCGCCUCUACAACUAUUCCAUGGAGUAUAAUACCCACCCAUAAAUGCACGUAGCGACGUCCGCUUUUCAACGCUAUACGAAAAUGGAAGAAAAUUGAUUAAAACGACGCACUGGUUACCAUGGAGAAGGGUGAUAAAGCCACCGACUAGGCACAACACCUGCACCAUGAUGUAAGUUGGUUGAGCCUUCCACAUCACGGUAACAUCGUUGAAAGCCAC